ACAAUGGUGGUCCAGUGGUAGAAUUCUCAUCUUCCGUGUGGGAGACCUGAGUUCAAUUCCCAGCUAAUGCA
rnacentral:tRNA from 1 species